rnacentral:rRNA from 1 species
AGCUCUUUCGCCAGAGAUGAUAAUGACAGUAUCUGGUAAAGAAACCCCGGCUAACUCCGUGCCAGCAGCCGCGGUAAUACGGAGGGGGUUAGCGUUGUUCGGAAUUACUGGGCGUAAAGCGCACGUAGGCGGAUCAAAAAGUUGGGGGUGAAAUCCCAGGGCUCAACCCUGGAACGGCCUCCAAAACUCCUGGUCUUGAGUUCGAGAGAGGUGAGUGGAAUUCCGAGUGUAGAGGUGAAAUUCGUAGAUAUUCGGAGGAACACCAGUGGCGAAGGCGGCUCACUGGCUCGAUACUGACGCUGAGGUGCGAAAGUGUGGGGAGCAAACAGGAUUAGAUACCCUGGUAGUCCACACCGUAAACGAUGAAUGCCAGUCGUCGGGUAGUAUACUGCUCGGUGACACACCUAACGGAUUAAGCAUUCCGCCUGGGGAGUACGGUCGCAAGAUUA